ACGGGAACGGAGGUCUGCAGGAGGAUUGACACGACACGACAAUGAAACACGGAGGGAAAAACAGAGCAAGGUUGCAUCAAGCUUAUGAAGGCAGCUCCUUCAUUACCGGGAGGUAUGCUGACUGAUGAUUGCCGCCAGCUGUGGAGAAGUGAACCAACCUUUGAUACCAGCUACAACAAAUUCUUCGAGAGGAUCAUCCGCUAAAGAAUAAUUGUUAAUCAGGAGGUGCUGAGAAUGAACCAGCUACGACGAAUGUUUUUAAAUACGGUGCAAAAACAUGAAGAUUGUGAUGCUUCAAACUACAGGCAGGAUAAAUUAAAGAGAAGGCUGACUCUGGACUUUCCCCAACUGGUGUUUCAACCGCAACAUCUGCGAACUGUUUUUUGUUGAGACAUUGUCUGCAGAUAAGCUGAUAGACAGGCUACCUCAUCCAUCAGGUACAGACAAAACUGAGUCAACUGAAGUAAGCCAAGGUGAAAGUGACACUGAACACAUGGCAAGAACAACAGCUGGUCCGCAAACUACUGAGAACACGAGGACACUUUAGUGCAGCGCUGAUAUUGAACCAGCUACUAUGUGACUCUCCCGGUAUGAUGUGCCCCUGGCCACCCGUCUGAUGCAAAAUCUGUUGUGCCACUUGAACGGUACAAUGUUAUUGCUUGGAUUGUAGGUGCAACAGAGGAACCAACGUUAGCCUGUUUGUUGAUAUUCCAGAAGAUGUGAACCUAAAAGUGAUAUCUGUUUGUCAAGACAUUAUGUAUCUUGCAUCUAAAGGUCAUAGGCAGACACCCAAAUUAUUAUGUCUUGGUCUAAGUAUUCGGCAUUUAACAGGUUCCUCACAAGUUGUGGCACUGCUGAGUGGACUAGGACAUUGUGCUUCAUGAGACAUUCUCUCAUUUUGCCCCUUCACCCAAUGGCAAUGGAUGGCACAUUGCGGAUGGGGAGUGAAAAGCGACAUG